rnacentral:rRNA from 1 species
AGUGAACGCUGGCGGUAGGCCUAACACAUGCAAGUCGAACGGCAGCACAGUAAGAGCUUGCUCUUACGGGUGGCGAGUGGCGGACGGGUGAGGAAUACAUCGGAAUCUACUUUUUCGUGGGGGAUAACGUAGGGAAACUUACGCUAAUACCGCAUACGACCUACGGGUGAAAGCAGGGGAUCUUCGGACCUUGCGCGAUUGAAUGAGCCGAUGUCGGAUUAGCUAGUUGGCGGGGUAAAGGCCCACCAAGGCGACGAUCCGUAGCUGGUCUGAGAGGAUGAUCAGCCACACUGGAACUGAGACACGGUCCAGACUCCUACGGGAGGCAGCAGUGGGGAAUAUUGGACAAUGGGCGCAAGCCUGAUCCAGCCAUACCGCGUGGGUGAAGAAGGCCUUCGGGUUGUAAAGCCCUUUUGUUGGGAAAGAAAAGCAGCAGGUUAAUACCACGCUGUUCUGACGGUACCCAAAGAAUAAGCACCGGCUAACUUCGUG